rnacentral:rRNA from 1 species
AUUGAACGCUGGCGGCGUGCUUAACACAUGCAAGUCGAACGGUAAGGCCCUUCGGGGUACACGAGUGGCGAACGGGUGAGUAACACGUGGGUGAUCUGCCCUGCACUUCGGGAUAAGCCAGGGAAACUGGGUCUAAUACCGGAUAGGACCACUGCCUGCAUGGGUGGUGGUGGAAAGCUUUUGCGGUGUGGGAUGGGCCCGCGGCCUAUCAGCGUGUUGGUGGGGUGAUGGCCUACCAAGGCGACGACGGGUAGCCGGCCUGAGAGGGUGACCGGCCACACUGGGACUGAGAUACGGCCCAGACUCCUACGGGAGGCAGCAGUGGGGAAUAUUGCACAAUGGGCGCAAGCCUGAUGCAGCGACGCCGCGUGAGGGAUGACGGCCUUCGGGUUGUAAACCUCUUUCAGCACCGACGAAGCGCAAGUGACGGUAGGUGCAGAAGAAGGACCGGCCAACUACGUGCCAGCAGCCGCCGUAA